rnacentral:rRNA from 1 species
UUGAACGCUGGCGGCAUGCCUUACACAUGCAAGUCGAACGGUAACGGGCCUUCGGGUGCCGACGAGUGGCGAACGGGUGAGUAAUACAUCGGAACGUGCCCGAUCGUGGGGGAUAACGAGGCGAAAGCUUUGCUAAUACCGCAUACGAUCUACGGAUGAAAGCAGGGGACCGCAAGGCCUUGCGCGGACGGAGCGGCCGAUGGCAGAUUAGGUAGUUGGUGGGAUAAAAGCUUACCAAGCCGACGAUCUGCAGCUGGUCUGAGAGGAUGAUCAGCCACACUGGGACUGAGACACGGCCCAGACUCCUACGGGAGGCAGCAGUGGGGAAUUUUGGACAAUGGGCGCAAGCCUGAUCCAGCCAUGCCGCGUGCAGGAUGAAGGCCUUCGGGUUGUAAACUGCUUUUGUACGGAACGAAAAGCCUUCUUUUAAUACAGGAGGGUCAUGACGGUACCGUAAGAAUAAGCACCGGCUAACCACGUG